GGGGUCGACUUGGAUUUGACAGCGAGUCUAAUUGGAUGGUAAGCACGUCGAGCGCUGAGAUAUAGCUCGUAAAUCUCAUAUUUCACACUUUUUUAAACGGCGAGAAUAACUACGCCUUGGCUGCAUAAUCCGAAUUACAGUAGGAUUAUCUUUAUCCCUACCAGGUAGGGAGCCGAGAUGCCUCGUGAAAGCCUUGAUUUACGGCGUUCACACCAGAGGUAUCGAUAAAGUAAAUAUAGGAAUUGCAGGGUCUUGAUGUAAUUCCGAAACUCAAUUGAGAAUACGUGUAAGAUUGGUGGUUUUCGGCCGGUCUUGCAUCGACAAUUAAGUGAAGACUAAGCGUGAAGAAAGCUAUGUUAAUUACUUGUUUGGACGAGGGUUCGAAACCCUCCGACUCCACUA
rnacentral:tmRNA from 1 species